rnacentral:rRNA from 1 species
UACGAAGGGGGCUAGCGUUGCUCGGAAUUACUGGGCGUAAAGGGCGCGUAGGCGGCACUGUUAGUCAGGCGUGAAAGUCCUGGGCUCAAUCUGGGAACUGCGCUUGAUACGGCAGAGCUAGAGGAUGGAAGAGGCUCGCGGAAUUCCCAGUGUAGAGGUGAAAUUCGUAGAUAUUGGGAAGAACACCGGUGGCGAAGGCGGCGAGCUGGUCCAUUACUGACGCUGAGGCGCGACAGCGUGGGGAGCAAACAGG